CCUACGGUAGGCAGCAGUGGGGAAUAUUGCACAAUGGGCGAAAGCCUGAUGCAGCAACGCCGCGUGAGCGAUGAAGGCCUUCGGGUCGUAAAGCUCUGUCCUCAAGGAAGAUACUUACGGUACUUGAGGAGGAAGCCACGGCUAACGACGUGCCAGCAACCGCGGUAAUACGUAGGGGGCUAGCGUUAGCCGGAAUUACUGGGCGUAAAGUGUGCGUAGGUGGUUUCUUAAGUCAGAGGUGAAAGGCCAGGGCUCAACCGUAGUAAGCCUUUGAAAGUAGUAAACUUGAGUGCAGGAGAGGGGAGUGGAAUUCCUAGUGUAGCGGUGAAAUGCGUAGAUAUUAGGAAGAACACCAGAUGCGAAGGCGGCUCUCUGGACUGUAACUGACACUGAGGCACGAAAGCGUGGGGAGCAAACAGGAUUAGAUACCCGGGUAGUC
rnacentral:rRNA from 1 species